rnacentral:rRNA from 1 species
GACGUAGGGCGCGAGCGUUGUCCGGAUUUAUUGGGCGUAAAGAGCUCGUAGGCGGCUUGUUGCGUCGACUGUGAAAGCCCGAGGCUUAACCUCGGGUCUGCAGUCGAUACGGGCUAGCUAGAGUGUGGUAGGGGAGAUCGGAAUUCCUGGUGUAGCGGUGAAAUGCGCAGAUAUCAGGAGGAACACCGGUGGCGAAGGCGGAUCUCUGGGCCAUUACUGACGCUGAGGAGCGAAAGCGUGGGGAGCGAACAGG